rnacentral:rRNA from 1 species
UACGGAGGAUGCGAGCGUUAUCCGGAUUUAUUGGGUUUACAGGGUGCGUAGGCGGAUUUGUAAGUCAGCGGUAAAAGCCCGGGGCUCAACCCCGGCCCGCCGUUGAAACUGGCUUGCUAGAGUGGGCGAGAAGUAUGCGGAAUGCGUGGUGUAGCGGUGAAAUGCAUAGAUAUCACACAGAACACCGAUUGCGAAGGCAUCUCACGAAUCCGCUAUUGACGCUGAUGCACGAAAGCGUGGGUAUCAAACAGG